UCGGCUUUCACCAAGUGUGGAGCCUCUGCCU
rnacentral:piRNA from 1 species